rnacentral:rRNA from 1 species
CAGCAGUGGGGAAUUUUGGACAAUGGGGGAAACCCUGAUCCAGCCAUGCCGCGUGCGGGAAGAAGGCCUUCGGGUUGUAAACCGCUUUUGGCAGGAACGAAACGGCGCUCGCUAACACCGAGCGCUAAUGACGGUACCUGCAGAAUAAGCACCGGCUAACUACGUGCCAGCAGCCGCGGUAAUACGUAGGGUGCAAGCGUUAAUCGGAAUUACUGGGCGUAAAGCGUACGCAGGCGGCUGUGCAAGACAGAUGUGAAAUCCCCGGGCUUAACCUGGGAACUGCAUUUGUGACUGCAUAGCUAGAGUCCGUAAGAGGGGGGUGGAAUUCCACGUGUAGCAGUGAAAUGCGUAGAGAUGUGGAGGAACACCGAUGGCGAAGGCAGCCCCCUGGGUCAAGAUUGACGCUCAUGCACGAAAGCGUGGGGAGCAAACAGGAUUAGAUACCCUGGUAGUCCACGCCCUAAACGAUGUCUACUAGUUGUCGGGUCUUAAUUGACUUGGUAACGCAGCUAACGCGUGAAGUAGACCGCCUGGGGAGUACGGUCGCAAGAUUAAAACUCAAAUGAAUUGACGGGGGCCCGCACAAGCGGUGGAGCAUGUGGUUUAACUCGAAGC